GAUGAACGCUGGCGGCGUGCCUAAUACAUGCAAGUCGAGCGAACAGACGAGGAGCUUGCUCCUCUGACGUUAUCGGCGGACGGGUGAGUAACACGUGGAUAACCUACCUAUAAGACUGGGAUAACUUCGGGAAACCGGAGCUAAUACCGGAUAAUAUAUUGAACCGCAUUGUUCAAUAGUUAAAGACGGUUUUUCUUUCACUUAUAUAUGUAUCCGCGCCGCAUUAGCUAGUUGGUAAGGUAACGGCUUACCAAGACAACGAUUCGUAGCCGACCUGAGAGGGUGAUCGGCCACACUGGAACUGAGACACGGUACAGACUACUACGGGAGGCAGCAGUAGGGAAUCUUCCGCAAUGGGCGAAAGCUUGACGGAGCAAAGCCGCGUGAGUGAUGAAGGUCUUCGGAUCGUAAAACUCUGUUAUUAGGGAAGAACAAAUGUGUAAGUAACUAUGCACGUCUUGACGGUACCUAAUCAGAAAGCCACGGCUAACUACGUG
rnacentral:rRNA from 1 species